GACGAACGCUGGCGGCGUGCUUAACACAUGCGAGUCGAACGGAAAGGCCUGCCUUUCGUUGUGGACUGGGGGGGCGAAAGUGGCGAAAGGGUGAGUAACACGUGAGUUAGCUUUUGGGAACAUGGGAAGAAGCUGGGGAAAAUGGCGGAAAUGAGCUCCUGCUGCAUGGGGGGGGUCGGAAGGUGUAGGCGGUUGGGGAGGGAGUCGGGGCUUAUCAGCGUGCUGGUGGGGUAGUGGCUUAGCAAGGCUCUGACGGGUAGGCGGCCGGAGAGGGUGGCCGGCCACACUGGGAAGGAGAUAAGGCCCGGACGCCUACGGGAGGCAUGAGUGGGGAAUGUUGCCCUAUGGGAGGGAGGCUGAGGCAGCAACGCCGGGUGCCGGAUGACGGCCUUCGGGUUGUAGACCGCUUUCGCCUGGGUCGAAGCGUGAGUGACGGUAGUGGGUAAAGAAGCACCGGCUAACUACGUG
rnacentral:rRNA from 1 species